UUUCAAGGGGGAGUCUGUGAGGCAGAGCUGAAAGGUAAGUUAGGUAAGAUUUCUUGGAUCUGGAAAAGAUGGACUAAGAUUCUAAAAGGAAGAGAAGGGAAAACUUUAAAGCAAGGCAGGUGACAGAGUGGGGCGAGCGGACUGGUGGAGGCACCUCGGUGGGUUUUGACACUCGACACCCAGCCUUCACUCAGGUUGCUAGGAAACAAAAAGGCUCCACGUUCCUAUCGGUUCCUCUCUGGCCUGGAAGAGAAGACAGGGGCCUUCGGGACCUGAAGACGCCACAGAAAAGUGCCUGGGUGUAUCCCCCCAACUGAUAAAUCUCUAAGAUGGGAUCACAACCACAGGAAAAGAGCUAAGGAAAAUCUGGAACAUCAUAAAGCAUCCUCAAUUAGCUUCAGGAAAAAAAAGAAAAAAAAAACAUGUCCCCUGUUCUGCUGCAUGGUGCUGGAGCUCACCCUUGCAAACUAUUUCCCAUUUCUCCUUGCCAACGGACUUCUGGCUGUGUUCAGACAAUGGGAGGUACUGACGAAGAACCAGAAGGAAGAAGCCAAGGUCGCUGGCCAGUACCGGUCCAAGGCCUGUUAGGAACCGAGCCACACAGCAGGAGAUGAAUGGCAGGCGUGCGAGUGAAGCUUCAUCUGUAUUUGUAGCCGCUCCCCAGCGCUAGCAUCACCACCUGAGCUUCACCUCAGAUCAUCAGGUGGUAAAUUCUCAUAGGAGCACUGGUCCUUGAUGCCAAAAAAGUUGGAGACCGCUGUUCUAGAAUAUCAUCAACCUCCAAACUGAAUUCCAGUUCAGUGUACAUUGCAAUGGCAGUGCCAUCCUGUUUUGUCAGGAGGAGAGCCAAUGUGAGGUACUGUGGUGUGGCUCAGAGUCAGGGUACUUCAAACUCUUCAUUAAUUCCUUCCCAUUCUAGUUGCCAGGAUCUUAUACUUUCUCAGUCAGCAUUUCAACCUUAUACCCAGAAAAGAGAAAUAAAUCAGAGAAUUAGACUUCUGUA